rnacentral:misc_RNA from 1 species
UUUCCGUAGGUGAACCUGCGGAAGGAUCAUUAUUAUUUGGGUCGGGUUUACCUCUUGUCUAGUUUUUUGUGCUCAAUAAUUCAAGUAGGAGGUAAACUUUUACCAAAUAAAUCCUAUUAAAUAGGAGCAAGAACCCUUAUAUUUAAAACCCACUCUUAAAAUAUUAUUUAUGUAUUUUGAAUGAUAAAAAUAAAGAUCACUUUCAACAACGGAUCUCUUGGCUCUC